rnacentral:rRNA from 1 species
AACGAACGCUGGCGGCAUGCCUAACACAUGCCAGUCGAACGAGACCAUCGGGUAGAUUGGCGCACGGGUGAGUAACGCGUGGGAACCUGCCCUUAGGUUCGGAAUAACUCCCCGAAAGGGGUGCUCAUACCGGAACAUUUCUUCGGACCGAAGAUUUAUCGCCUUUGGAUGGGCCCGCGUUGGAUUAGCUAGUUGGUAGGGUAAGAGCCUAUCAAGGCGACGAUACAUAGCUGGUCUGAGAGGAUGAUCAGCCACACUGGGACUGAGACACGGCCCAGACUCUUACGGGAGGGAGGAGAGGGGAAUAUUGGAAAACGGGGGGAAGGAUGAUGGAGCAAGGCCUGGUGAGUGCUGAAGGCCGUAGGGAUGUAAAGCUCUUUUACCCGGGAUGAUAUUGACAGUACCGGGAGAAUAAGCACCGGCUAACUCCGUG